UCUCCUUUGGUGUAGUGGUUAUCACUUUGGAUUUUGACUGCCAUCAAAAACUUCCAACAACCCCGGUUCGACUCCGGGAAGGAGAU